AAUUUCCAAGAGUGAGUCCGGGAAAAAAAAAAAAAAAAAAAAAAAAAAAAAAAUUCAAGCAUUAUCUUUCCGUUUCCGCUCAGCGCAGAUUUGAAGUGGAAACGUAUCGUGUUAUUUUGGUGGUGCUGGCAAGAAGUUGGAUUUUCACUUGAGCCAGUGAAUGAGAGAGAGCAAAGGAGCCUCGAAUUCCCACGACUCACAUCCGCUUGUUCCUACAUUUUACGACACAUGCACUUGUUUAUGGAGCGUGUUUUUUUUCUACCACCGAGAGCCCUUCGAGCAGUCGUUUUAGGUUUUUUGGUCACAGAGCUCAGCUGAAGGCACCAGGCGACCGAGAACGAACAAGCCGGCUUCCUCUGCGCGAGCGCGACCUCUGUCUGGCCGGUGUCAAAAGUUCAACAUCUUCAGGAGAAAAAGGGGGCAGAGCGACGUGAGGUUGAAACUUCAUCUGACUCCACCUGACGGGAAUGAAAGGAAAGUGUGUGGGACGCGUCCACGAGGGCCAGUCAGCAACAGUGAACUUUUUGCCGAAGGUGAGCACCAGGAAUGGUUUUCUCAUUAGCAGAAAUUCAAGUCUGUGCGUUGACCUCCUACUCGGCGAGCAAAGUGGAGAGAAAGAGCUUGAGUUACCCAAACCUCAGAUAUACAUCUAUUCUGUAAAUUGCCAGCUUCCUGCUAAAGGUAUUCCAGAGGAACAAGCGCGGAGCUUUACACAAAGCGAGAGACGAAUGUUUCACAAGUGUGAUGAACAGCAGGUAUAAACCGGCGGGGAGGAAGGACGCGUCCAAAAAAAGAGAGAGCUCCAGCUCGCUCUUUCUCCUCAGUCAUAUAAGGACCACAGAGCACACGAGGUGUAAAUCAGCGUUAGACGGUUCGAUACUUUGCACUGAGACGGACUCCAGGAAUCACACACACACACACACACACAAACGCACGCACUUAAACAUCAACACUGAUUGUUCCAUCGGGCCUAAAAUAAACGACGCAGUCCAAAUGCAUGAAAAGAGCCGUAUUGUUCAAGCAGUGGCAUCCGAGGACAGCUUACUUCUGAGAUUAAACAUCUCCAGUCGUCCCCCAGGGGCCUUGGUGUCACUGAUGGGGAAACAAGCAACUAAAUAAAUAUCAUGUCAUCCGUCUGAUCGCAGUCUUCCUGACACCAGCUCAUUCACUUCUUGUUUAUUUCACCCGCAGCGCGAGCUCUCAGAAUAAGAACGAGGAAGUAUGAACUUUUAGAAAACCUUGACGAGUGAACUCAUAAGAGGAGGAACUCGUGAAGACGAAGAAGAAGAAAAAAAUCUCAUGCUGAUUUUUAUCCUUAAAAAAAAAGUGCAGAUUAGACUCUUGAAACUUGUGGGGAAUUCUUAGCACUGUUUCUGAUGAUUUUCUUAAUUAUUUUUAUUUUUUUUGCAAGGGCACCUUCAGCAUGACAAAUGACAAAAUGGAAAGUCAGUCACAGUGAGGAGUGGCAGUUGUAACGAGAAUUUCAAAAUGCAUCUUUAUCUUACAAAAACUCCAGCAUGUUUUUUUUUUUUUUUUUUUUUUGUCUAUAAACAGCCUGAUUAUGACAAUAAAUACCAAGAGAUGACAAAGAAUGAACGCCCAGGUUGGAUCAGACUCUGUGAGGUCACUGUCAUUACAUAUGUUCACACCUCUGAUUACUUCUUUCUCUGUCUUGCUUCUGUUGCCUCUCUACUUCACAGCGUCCGUCGGACGCGCUGGGUGUAGAAGUGAACUAGAUAAAAGUGUGGCUCAACUUUUCAGACUUGCUGAAAUUUUCUCUCUCCACUCCAUUCAGCCCAUUAUCGCUUGGUGUCAAACUCUGAUACCAUCAGUGUGCAUUCUCAAGCAGCAGGCCGGCGCAUCAAGCAACGGCUGCAUCGGAAGCAAACAAAAAAGAAAAACAGUCUCUCUUUUUGCACUGACUUUUAUUUAUGAGGAUGGAUAUUAAAGAAAGCUCAACCUCAACAGCACUGUGUGUGCACCUAAAUGAUGUUGUGCGUACAGCACAUUAUUCUGGGCUAUGUGUUGUGGUGACAACAAGCAUGAUAAAUGUGGUCUAACCAUGGAGAUACCAAGUUUUGCUUUGUUUUGUUUUUUUAAUCUUUAGCUGCUUAAAAAGCCCACAUCUUUAAAAAAAAUAUAUAUAUAUCUCAAUGUGACCUUCAUGCAAAAAAUAAAAAUGAAAAAUGGCAUAGUCACAGUUUUAAUCACAGUAUGCAAAAAGAAAUUUAUAGAACUGUGAAGUGGUAUAUGAAGAUGAUAUUCUGCUAUUUGCAUUGCAUUAACGUUCCGCUUUUGUAAUUUUGUGGGUAUGGAGAGAAGCAAAAAAGAAAAAAAAAGAAGACUCCUAGCCCUGACAUCUGUUCGAAACAUUGACAUUUCGUUUGAAUUUAGCCACGCUUAUUUAACUCUGCUCAUUUAGUACUUGUUUUAUUUUUAUUUUCUGCAGCACACAAGCAAAUGUUCUAAGAUUUAACAUCAGCUGCAGCCAUCUGAGUGUACAUAUAAGCACUAAAAAGAAAGUUCUUGUGAAGAGUUCAAGUCCGGUCAGCAGAGAUCAGAAUCAGUUUCCUGCUUUUAAUGUCAACGCAUCUAAAAAACUCCUCACAGAUGUCUGAGAUGCCGUUUAAAAGGGACAUGUUAAUUUCACCAGGAAUAAACGCAGUGACAGACGAGAAUGCUAAAACCAUCACGUUAAUUUAUAACCUGCGAUUUCCGUCCAGGCAAACCCAGAGCAGAGCCAAUGUCUGAAUAACUGUCGAUUUGUUCCAUUUACUCGUUCAAUCUCCCAUUUCGAGUGCGAUUUCCAAUUCAUUAAAAUCCAAUUUUGGUGUGUUUGUGAAUUCGUUGAGAAAGGGAAUGACCCCCGUCUGAGAGCCGGAGAAGGCGCACUCAGCACAGACAGAGAGAGGGCUCCAGGCUCCAGGCUCCGGGGGUCGCAGGGAGGCAGCGCUCCUCUCAGCCUCCGUCCCUAAUCUGUUUUACUCCGCUUCGUUUAUUGUGCAGUAAACCGAAUCACGAGUGAACCCAGCUUUCUGAUCCGAACCCAUCCCCAACCUCUUCCCAUCCAAGCUCACAAAUGAAAUGUCAGAAAGUGUAGAAUCGCUAGCGAAAAAAGAAAGAAAGAGAGGGGGAAAAAAACGUGUCAACUUAUUAUGCACUGAGAAUGUUGCUGAAAGCAGCUUCAGACGUGUCAUCAACACCUAAGAAGUUCCUUCAAAUCUCGCUUUAGCCAAAGGAAACCCAAUUAUUGUUUUCUCUAAGAGUGCGCUACGCUGCGCAUGAACGUCGUUCUCGCUAUAUUAAAUCAACAACAUGACUAAUGUUACGUUAAAUAAUAAUAUUAAUAAUAAUAUUAAUAAUAAUUUUUUUUUAAAAAAGCGAUGGAGGGGAAGAAAUUGUUUGAAAAUAAUACACGAUGGGAUGUUGAAAAUGCAGAAUUAAAUAUGUUACUCGUCUUUACGUCAUUUUCGAUGACAGCGUUCAUUCUUACGCACGUAA